AUUGAACGCUGGCGGCAUGCCUUACACAUGCAAGUCGAACGGCAGCACGGGAGCAAUCCUGGUGGCGAGUGGCGAACGGGUGAGUAAUAUAUCGGAACGUGCCCGGUCGUGGGGGAUAACGUAGCGAAAGCUACGCUAAUACCGCAUACGAUCUACGGAUGAAAGCGGGGGAUCGCAAGACCUCGCGCGAUUGGAGCGGCCGAUAUCAGAUUAGGUAGUUGGUGAGGUAAAGGCUCACCAAGCCGACGAUCUGUAGCUGGUCUGAGAGGACGACCAGCCACACUGGGACUGAGACACGGCCCAGACUCCUACGGGAGGCAGCAGUGGGGAAUUUUGGGACAAUGGGCGCAAGCCUGAUCCAGCAAUGCCGCGUGCAGGAUGAAGGCCUCGGUUGUAAC
rnacentral:rRNA from 1 species